UCAAGUUUGGUGAAGAGAAAAUCAAGUUGAAUUUUGAGGUCAUAUUAAUCAUAUAUAUAGUUGGACAAAAUCAAUAACGGAGAUGAUUCGGAUGAGAUCAGUAUUUGAUUCUUUACAUACCUCUCAUUUGCAUCACACACACUCAAACAUACUCCCUCUUCUUCAUCUCUCUCUCUCUCUCUAUAACAAACACAUGCAUGUGAAAUUGAUGUUUCAGCCUUCCUUCCUUAAUUAUAAAAGAGGGCUCCUUCUUAGCAUAUUCUUCCUCACACACUUAAUUAUCUCGCUCCUCAAGCUUUCUCUCUUUCUCAAUAUCCCUCGUUUCCUCAAGCCCUAUAAUGCGACGUCGGGAUUUUCCGGUCGUCACGUUGGGGACGCUCAUGGUGGACACUUACGCGACGUGUAUUGUGAUGUGCCGAGCAAUAAUGGCGAUUUUCUUCUCCCUCACAAUGCGGGGAGUUAUCGAAAUAGCCAAUCUAAAGUGAUGGAGUUAGGAACUAUAUAUUGUGCCAUGGAUCUUGGAGGAUGCAUAACUCCUCAGUGAAUCAAGGGCUUGCUUGGUGUGGGAGUGAAUCUAGUAUUGCUCUUGACGAGAGUGAUGGAACAGGACAACACCAGCACCGCAAACCGCGUGGCAGGCUCUUCCUUAGCAAUUCAUAUUGAAUUGGGGCCGCUACAAAACUUGUGCUAUUUUUCAACUCAUUUUUGUGAUCGUAGGUCCAAAUUAAUUUACAGAAAAGACAUGACAUUUCUCAUCUUUUCUCAUCGUAAGAAUCAAAUUAAUAAAACGAUUAAGAGGGUGUUUGGCUAAGCUUAUUUUAAAGAGCUUAUAAGCUCUUGGAACUUAUAAGAUGUUUCAAAAGCUUAUAAGAUGUAAUUUUUAAGAGUUUAUAAGUUGUCAAAGUGUUUGGAUAAUUGAGCUUAUAAGUUAGAGAGAGAAAAUAUUUUUUUAGAGAGAGAAAAUCGAAGAGAAAUUAACUUAAAUGAUUAAUGAUGAAAAUAAUAAAUUAUAGUUGAAAAAUAUUUGUAAAAUGAUUGUUGCAUAUGAGAUUAUAAAAAAAUAAGUUGGGGUAGAGGAACUUAUUUUUUUAGGAGCUUAUAAGCUCUUUGAGCUUAUUUUUGGAUCUUAUAAGCUGUUUAGGAGCUUAUUUUGCCAAACACUUUGAAGGAGCUUAUAAGUGCAUCGUCAUACUUAUCUCAUGUUGCACUCAAUUAAUUAAUUCAAAACUAUAUGGGGCUAUGGAGACUUAAAUAUAAAUUAUUAAUAGGGCUGGGAAUCGGGUCGGGAUCGGGUACCCUACCCGAAAAAAUCGGGUACCCGGUCCCGAUUAAGACGGGAAAUCGAUACCCGAUCCCGAACCCGAAAAAAAAUCGGGUACCCUAAUACCCGACUCGGGUACCCGAGUCGGGUAUUCGGGUACCCUAAUUACCCGGUCAAAAUUACAUGUUUCAGGUCAAACUGUGUAAAAUCGGGUAUUUCGGGUAUUAGGGUACCCGAUUUUCCUUAAUCCCUAAUACCCGAAAAUACCCGAUUUUUUUAAAAAAAAUCAAAAAUCUAUAUUAAUAAAUAAUAUAUAACAUCAAAUCAAAAUUGAAAAUUGAAAAUUUUGUAGGUAGGGUUACAGUUCAGUAGUUCACUCCUUCGAUUUGAAAAUUGAAAUUAAGGAAUUAAAAUUUAAUUAAAUAAUUUAAUAUAUACUUAAUAAAAAUCGGGUAUUUCGGGUAUACCCGAUACCCGAUCGGGUAUACCCGAUACCCGAUUUUUCCCCACCCUAAAUACCCGAUCCCGAACCCGGUCCCUAAUUUUUCGGGUAUAGGGUACCCGAUACCCGAUUUUUUCGGGUCGGGUAUUCGGGCACCCUAUACCUGAACCCUAUCUUCCCACCCCUAAUUAUUAAAUAGUACUAUAAAUAAUAUUUGAAAUCCUUUAUUCUUAAUUUUAGAGUCACGUACAAAUGAUUAAUUAUGCUAAAGAUAAUAUGUUUCUUAUUGAUAGCAAAUAAUAUUUACAUCAAAUUUAUAAAUUAUGACAAGAGUAUUUCUUAGGGUUAAUUGCCGCUAAAUUCAAAAGCUUUCUAAAAUUUCGCGAUUUUCUCACCAACUUCAAAAUCGGCGUAUGAAUACACGAAUUGAGAAUCCGUUCUUAAUGUUCCCAAAAUUAAAAAAUCCCCAAAAUUUGAAGCUGACAUGGAUGACCGUAGUUACAGCGUGGCAUAGUCGGCGGCGUAAGGAAACGACGUCGUUUUUAAAAAUCAAAACGACGUCGUUUUGAUUUCCAACAACAUUAAAAAAAAAAGAAAAAAAAUGCAGAAUUCUCUCUCUCUCUCUCGAACACCACCACCGCCGCCGAGUUCUGGACUUCCAGCCAUCGUCGCCGCCGAGUUCUGGACUUCCAGCCACCACCAUCGCCGAGAUCUGAACUUCCAACCACCAGACCACCACCGCCGCCGAGCUCUGGACUCCCACCGUCUCCCUUACUCAUCUCUGCCAGAGUUCUGGACUUCCACCAGACCACCACCACCACCACCGCCCAUCUCCGCCUGCUCUCAACUGUCAACAACAACACACACACUCACCUACAACUGCCGCCGGUCCAUCUCUCUCUCGCCUUUCACCGCCGCUCUGCAAAUCGCCUCACCAAAUCGCGGCCUCCCUCCUUCAAAUCGUCACCCCAAAUCCCUCUGCAAAUCGCAGCUCUGGGUGUUUGGGGAUGGGGUAGAUGGAGGAGUCGAAGGGUGAGAAAAUCUGUGUACUGAUUUGGGCGGCCUUCUUCUUCUCGCGGUGUUGGUCGGGGUGGCGCCGGGGGUUUGGGAGGUGGUGGACGGGGUGGCGCCGAGGGUUUGGAUUUGGGAGGUGGUGGUCGGGGGGGUUGGGGAAGGGGGUGUUUGGGGUUGGGGGUAGGUAUUUUCUAUUUUUUUUUUAUAAAUUCAUUUAUUAACAUUUUAUUAAAAUAAGAUUAAUUAAAAAAAUUAAGAAAUGACAUGUCAUAUCUAUUUGGCAUUUAAUUGACAUGUCACAGAUGUUUUCCAUGUCAACUCGCCGGAUUUUUUAAUUUUGGGAACAUUAAGAACGAAUUCUCAAUUCGUGUAUUUAUACGCCGAUUUUGAAGUUGGUGAGAAAAUCGCGAAAUUUUAGAAAGCUUUUGAAUUUAGCGGCAAUUAACCCUAUUUCUUAUUGCAUUAGAACUCUUCUUAAUUUCGAAUUUACGAGCGCCUAUAAAUAUUUCUCUACAAUCGCUAUUUUCCUUCACUUCAUAUCAACAAAUUUCUUUGCUUUUACUUGGUGAUACUUCAUGUUUGUGAUUGUGGAAGACAAAUUGCCAAAUUUUUUUUAUUUUUUUUUCACUUUCAUGUUUCAAUUUGCCUUUGCAUCAUUUUUUUCUUAAUUCUUUUAUUCCAAUAUUAAAUAAGAUCAUUUACUAUCAAUUUUUUUUUCUUGAUUGCUGCACUCACUUAUCAUCAAUUUUUUAUAUAUAAAAAAGUAGAGGUUACUUUUCUUUGUAUUUACAUUAAUUAAGAUCAUUUAAAGAGCCGCUUGGAAUUGUAAAUUGAAUGAGGGAAUGAAAUGAAUGUAAGUAAGAAAUGACAAAUUUUGGGUGAUUACUAUACUAACAAGGAAUAUAAAGGAAUGGACUUGUGAUUCCUUUACCCAUUUCAUUUUUAUGAUUGGUGGCUAGCUAUAAAGUUUAGAAAUGUAUAGAAUAAAAUUAUUAGAGACUCCAACAUUUUGCCUUCUAAGAUCUGAGGCUUUCCACCUCAUUUAUAUACAGGUAAUGCAUUAAUCCACCAAGGAAAAAGACAUACAACCUGCUCCAAUGGGAAAUAACCAAUUUGCAAGCUUCUCAUUGUUUUAGAGUUCAAAGCCAUGUAUAUCAAAAUCCACCAAACCUUCACAGUACGACAUCACUUAGGUGUCACCUCGAGCAUACCAUUGCACGGCAACAUCUCAUUGCACAGCGACACCAGGUGGCAGCACGUCGUGGUAGACAACUUAGACGACGUUGUACGUUGUUGGUGAUUUUCUUCUCCCUCACAAAGUCGGUAGGUAUCGGAAUAGCCAAUAUCUAAAAUGAACCUUAAACUCCAAAAUAAUGGAAUGCUUCAACAUGAUAUGUAUACGUUUCUUCACCCCUUGAACAUCCCGUAACAAUGCACAAAAUUGAUCACAUUAAUAGAAAAAAAUAUAUAUAUACCAUGUAGGGUUGUAUUUUGUGCGAAAAAUUAUCAAUGCAAAGGAAAGUAAUUAUAAUUUUGGAA